rnacentral:rRNA from 1 species
UACAGAGGGGGGCAAGCGUUAUUCGGAAUUAUUGGGCGUAAAGGGCGCGUAGGCGGCUUGGCAAGUGGAUGGUGAAAUCCCUCGGCUUAACCGAGGAACUGCCGUCCAAACUGCUUAGCUUGAGACCGGGAGAGGUGAGUGGAAUUCCCAGUGUAGCGGUGAAAUUCGUAGAUAUUCGCAAGAACACCAGUGGCGAAGGCGGCUCACUGGCCCAUUACUGACGCUGAGGCACGAAAGCGUGGGGAGCAAACAGG